CUCAGCCCUGCCAUGAGCACCCCAAAUCAUCGCUGGAGAGCCCCGCAGACCCCAAAGCACUGCUCGACUUUCCACCUCUGGGCAGAAGAGACCCUACAUUCCACGCGUGGGCCCUACCCCAGCCUCCCUCGGGGCCAAGCACGCCUUUGUUCGCUCUCUUCCUGACCACAGGCAGCACGAGCCUCUAGGUGGGAGAGACGAGACACUCGUUCCCCUCCCUUGGAAGCUGAGCAAUCACAUCAAAGGCAUACAAAAGGCAAUUCACUGUGCAAAGGGAACGGAAAGAAAUAAGUGCUCUAUGGGCUCUGAGCGCUCGGGAAGGAGGUACAGCAAAGAAGGAAAGGCCAGAAACAAAACCAAACAAAACACAAGGAAGCACCUUUGUGGCCCAGAAGGUGCCAAAAACAUCCUGGGGAUAAGCAGUCCUUAGCAAAGAGGGGCCAGGCCUGAGGUGGGGGAGGUGGCCUUACACGGAAGCCCUGGAGAAGUGAAACAGUGUUCUGAGACCUGCUCUUCUGAGAGUCUGAGGCUCCAGGGAGAUCACAGGGAGUCGAUGCUGACUCGAGAAGAGGGCUGUGAGAGCCUGGCCAUGACUCAGUCCACUGGGGCUUCCCUGGACCACUCUGUUAUCUCUGAGUUCGCAGCCACUUCUGUGAUUCUGGCUGGCACAAUUGCCCAAGGCCUUCAGUGAGGAUGCAGUGUCCAGGGCAUCAUCUAUGAAUGGAGACAACCUUUACCGGACACCAAACCUACCAGCACCAUGACCUUGAACUUUCCAGCCUUCUGAACUAUGGCGUACUGCUCUGUUGCCCAGGUUAGAGUGCAGUGGCUUGAUCAUAGCUCACUGCAGCCUUGAGCUCCUAGGCUCAAGCAGUCCUCUUGCCUCAGCCUCCUGAAUAGCUGGGACUACAGGUUCUAUUCUGAGGUACUAAGGUUAAGACCUCAACAUAUGAAUUCUGGAGGACAAAAUUCAACCCAGAAGUCUACCUUGUAUUGGGUCCUCACGGCAAGGCUGCAAAACCCGGGGGGUUGGUGGCCCAGUCCCACCUCCCAUGAGCUAAUGAAUGUGGGGCUCAGGGAGGACUGACAGGACUAGAGUUGACAACCAUUCAUCCAACAAACAUUUACUGCACGAGGAAGAGAGGUGAUCAAGGCACUGCCCUUGUCCCCAGGAAGCUCGCCAGUGCAUGGGACUGUGCAGGUGUCUUCACCUCUGCAUUAGGCAUUCGAUGUCAGGCCAUGGCUGAGCAUCCAUCCUCUCUAUGCUAAUUUUUUCCAAAAGUCAAGAGUUUGGAAGAACACUAAUGUGUUUUUCUUCCAGCCUUUCCUAUACAAAUGACAACAUCAUUACCCUCAGCUUUUAAAGUGCAAGUCUGUACAGAGAUCCCAGAGUCAAGGAGGGCGCCUGAGUCAUUUGAAAUAAUUACCUUUUUUUUUUCCUGCCUGAGUCUUGCAUAUCUGUGAAUCAGCAAUGUGGAAACUGGGCUUCAAAAAAAUUAAGGGAGGCUUAAAGUGAGCAAAGCAGAG
rnacentral:lncRNA from 1 species